AGCGAUGAAGCACCUUCGGGUGUGAAUUAGCGGCGAACGGGUGAGGAACACGUGAAGAAUCUGCCUUCAACUCUGGGAUAACUCCGGGAAACCGGGGCUAAUACCGGAUAUGAGCCUUGAUCGCAUGAUCGGGGCUGGAAAGUUUUUCGGUUGAAGAUGACUUCGCGGCCUAUCAGCUUGUUGGUGAGGUAAUGGCUCACCAAGGCGACGACGGGUAGCCGGCCUGAGAGGGCGACCGGCCACACUGGGACUGAGACACGGCCCAGACUCCUACGGGAGGCAGCAGUGGGGAAUAUUGGGCAAUGGAGGAAACUCUGACCCAGCGACGCCGCGUGAGGGAUGAAGGCCUUCGGGUUGUAAACCUCUUUCAGUAGGGAAGAAGCGAAAGUGACGGUACCUACAGAAGAAGCACCGGCUAACUAUGUGCCAGCAGCCGCGGUAAUACAUAGGGUGCAAGCGUUGUCCGGAAUUAUUGGGCGUAAAGAGCUCGUAGGUGGUUCGAUACGUCGGAUGUGAAAAUCAGGGGCUCAACCCCUGACCUGCAUCCGAUAC
rnacentral:rRNA from 1 species